rnacentral:rRNA from 1 species
GACGAACGCUGGCGGCGCGCUUAACACAUGCAGGUCGAACGGAAAGGCCUGCUUUCCCUUGUGGAUUGCGGGUACUCGAGUGGCGAACGGGUGAGUAACACGUGAGUGAUCUGCCCCCAACUUGGGUAUAAGCCUGGGAAACUGGGUCUAAUUUCCGAUAGGACUGCAGGGUGGUGCCUGUGGUGGAAAACGAUUUUCUAGUGGUUGGGGAUGAGCUCGCGGCCUAUCAGCUUGUUGGUGGGGUAAUGGCCUACCAAGGCGGCGACGGGUAGCCGGCCUGAGAGGGUGGACGGCCACAUUGGGACUGAGAUACGGCCCAGACUCCUACGGGAGGCAGCAGUGGGGAAUAUUGCACAAUGGGCGGAAGCCUGAUGCAGCGACGCCGCGUGGGGGAUGACGGCCUUCGGGUUGUAAACUCCUUUCGACCGCGAGGAAGCCACCUGGUUGGAAGGGUGGUGACGGUAGUGGUAGAAGAAGCACCGGCUAACUACGUG